AACGCCCCGCAAGGGGAGUGGCAGACGGGUGAGUAACACGUGGGAACAUACCCUUUGGUGCGGAACAACAGCUGGAAACGGCUGCUAAUACCGCAUGCGCCCUACGGGGGAAAGAUUUAUCGCCGAAGGAUUGGCCCGCGUCUGAUUAGCUAGUUGGUGAGGUAAUGGCUCACCAAGGCGACGAUCAGUAGCUGGUCUGAGAGGAUGAUCAGCCACACUGGGACUGAGACACGGCCCAGACUCCUACGGGAGGCAGCAGUGGGGAAUAUUGGACAAUGGGCGCAAGCCUGAUCCAGCCAUGCCGCGUGAGUGAUGAAGGCCCUAGGGUUGUAAAGCUCUUUCAGCGAGGAGGAUAAUGACGUUACUCGCAGAAGAAGCCCCGGCUAACUUCGUGCCAGCAGCCGCGGUAAUACGAAGGGGGCUAGCGUUGUUCGGAAUCACUGGGCGUAAAGCGCACUUAGGCGGACUUUUAAGUCAGGGGUGAAAUCCCGGGGCUCAACCUCGGAACUGCCUUUGAUACUGGAAGUCUGG
rnacentral:rRNA from 1 species